CCUACGGGUGGCAGCAGUGGGGAAUAUUGCACAAUGGGGGAAACCCUGAUGCAGCGACGCCGCGUGAGUGAAGAAGGAAUUCGGUAUGUAAAGCUCUAUCAGCAGGGAAGAAAAUGACGGUACGUGAGUAAGAAGCCCCGGGCAACUACGUGCCAGCAGCCGCGGUAAUACGUAGGGGGCAAGCGUUAUCCGGAUUUACUGGGUGUAAAGGGAGCGUAGACGGCAGUGCAAGUCUGGAGUGAAAGGCGGGGGCUCAACCCCCGGACUGCUCUGGAAACUGUACGGCUGGAGUGCAGGAGAGGUAAGUGGAAUUCCUAGUGUAGCGGUGAAAUGCGUAGAUAUUAGGAAGAACACCAGAGGCGAAGGCAGCUUACUGGACUGUAACUGACGUUGAGGCUCGAAAGCGUGGGGAGCAAACAGGAUUAGAUACCCCUGUAGUC
rnacentral:rRNA from 1 species